rnacentral:misc_RNA from 1 species
ACACCUCAACUCUUGUGGCUUUGCCAUGAUGAGCUUGGACUUUGGGGGUAUUGCUGGCCUGCGGUCGGCUCCUCUCAAAUAAAUUAGCUUGCCAGUGUUUGGUGGCAUCGCGGGUGUGAUAACUAUCUACGCUCGUGGUUCUUCACCGGGUAACCUUCAGUGAUGAAGGUUCGCUGGGGCUCAUAAAUGUCCCUCCUCAGCGAGGACAGCUUUUUGAAC